CAGGGGUAAAAACUCCGGUGGUAUGAGAUGGACCCGCGUCUGAUUUAGCUAGUUGGUAAGGUAACGGCUUACCAAGGCGACGAUCAGUAGCCGACCUGAGAGGGUGACCGGCCACAUUGGGACUGAGACACGGCCCAAACUCCUACGGGAGGCAGCAGUGGGGAAUAUUGCACAAUGGGGGAAACCCUGAUGCAGCGACGCCGCGUGAGCGAAGAAGUAUUUCGGUAUGUAAAGCUCUAUCAGCAGGGAAGAAUUAGGACGGUACCUGACUAAGAAGCACCGGCUAAAUACGUGCCAGCAGCCGCGGUAAUACGUAUGGUGCAAGCGUUAUCCGGAUUUACUGGGUGUAAAGGGAGCGUAGACGGAUGGGCAAGUCUGAUGUGAAAACCCGGGGCUCAACCCCGGGACUGCAUUGGAAACUGUUCAUCUAGAGUGCUGGAGAGGUAAGUGGAAUUCCUAGUGUAGCGGUGAAAUGCGUAGAUAUUAGGAGGAACACCAGUGGCGAAGGCGGCUUACUGGACAGUAACUGACGUUGAGGCUCGAAAGCGUGGGGAGCAAACAAGAUUAGAUACCCUGGUAGUCCCCGCCGUAAACGAUGACUACUAGGUGUCGGGUGGCAAAGCCAUUCGGUGCCGCAGCCAACGCAAUAAGUAGUCCACCUGGGGAGUACGUUCGCAAGAAUGAAACUCAAAGGAAUUGACGGGGACCCGCACAAGCGGUGGAGCAUGUGGAUUAAUUCGAAGCAACGCGAAGAACCUUACCUGCUCUUGACAUCCCGCUGACCGGACGGUAAUGCGUCCUUCCCUUCGGGGCAGCGGAGACAGGUGGUGCAUGGUUGUCGUCAGCUCGUGUCGUGAGAUGUUGGGUUAAGUCCCGCAACGAGCGCAACCCCUAUCUUUAGUAGCCAGCGGUUCGGCCGGGCACUCUAGAGAGACUGCCGGGGAUAACCCGGAGGAAGGUGGGGAUGACGUCAAAUCAUCAUGCCCCUUAUGAGCAGGGCUACACACGUGCUACAAUGGCGUAAACAAAGGGAAGCGAGACCGCGAGGUGGAGCAAAUCCCAAAAAUAACGUCUCAGUUCGGAUUGUAGUCUGCAACUCGACUACAUGAAGUUGGAAUCGCUAGUAAUCGCGAAUCAGAAUGUCGCGGUGAAUACGUUCCCGGGUCUUGCACA
rnacentral:rRNA from 1 species